rnacentral:rRNA from 1 species
GAUCCUGGCUCAGAUUGAACGCUGGCGGCAUGGCUAAAACAUGCAAGUCGAACGAUUAAAGCCCCUUCGGGGUGUGUAUAAAGUGGCGAACGGGCGAGUAAUGCGUUUCUAACGUGCCCCGAGGUCGGGGAUAGCUGGGGGAAACCCCAGGUAAUACCCGAUGACCCCAUCGGAUCGCAUGGUCUGAUGGGCAAAGGCUUGCUGCCUCGGGAUCGGGAAACGUCCUAUCAGGUUGUUGGUGAGGUAACGGCUCACCAAGCCAGAGACGGGUAGCGGGUGUGAGAGCACGACCCGCCGCAUCGGGACUGAGACACUGCCCGGACUCCUACGGGAGGCUGCAGUAACGGAUAUUGGGCAAUGAGCGCAAGCUUGACCCAGCAAUGCCGCGUGCAGGAUGAAGCCCCUCGGGGUGUAAACUGCUGUCAGGGUUUAGGAAGCAAGUGACCAAACCCAAAGGAAGGGCCGGCUAACUUCGUGCCAGCAGCCGCGGUAAUACGAAGGGCCCGAGCGUUAAUCGGAAUCACUGGGCUUAAAGGGUGCGUAGGCGGAAACGUCAGUGUCUUGUGAAAUCCCACGGCUCAACCGUGGAACUGCAGGGCAUACUGCGUUUCUUGAGGCCGGUAGAGGUCGUCGGAACUCUAGGUGUAGCGGUGAAAUGCGUAGAUAUCUAGAGGAACGCCAAAGGUGAAGACAGGCGACUGGGCCGGUUCUGACGCUGAGGCACGAAAGCGUGGGGAGCAAACAGGAUUAGAUACCCUGGUAGUCCACGCCGUAAACGUUGUGCACUAGAUCCGGGAGGUUUUGACGCCGUCCGGGUCGAAGAGAAAUUGAUAAGUGCACCGCCUGGGGAGUACGGUCGCAAGGCUAAAACUCAAAGGAAUUGACGGGGGCUCACACAAGCGGUGGAGCAUGUGGCUUAAUUCGAGGCAACGCGAAGAACCUUAUCCAGGGUUUGACAUGCAUGGAUUAACCUCUGGAAACAGAGGCCACGCCCUUUGGGUGGAACAUGCACAGGUGCUGCAUGGCUGUCGUCAGCUCGUGCUGUGAAGUGUUGGGUUAAGUCCCUUAACGAGCGAAACCCCUGUCGUUAGUUGCCAGUAGGUUAUGCUGGGCACUCUAACGAGACUGCCGGUGUCAAACCGGAGGAAGGCGGGGAUGACGUCAAGUCCUCAUGGCCUUUAUGCCCUGGGCUGCACACGUGCUACAAUGGUAUCGACAGAGCGAUGCGAGGCCGCGAGGCGGAGCAAAUCGCAAAAAAGAUGCCCCAGUUCGGAUUGCAGUCUGCAACUCGACUGCAUGAAGCCGGAAUCGCUAGUAAUCGCGUAUCAGCAACGACGCGGUGAAUACGUUCCUGAGCCUUGUACACACCGCCCGUCAAGUCAUGGAAGCCGGGAGUACCCGAAGUCGCACCAUUUCAGGUGUGCCGACGGUAAGCUCGGUGACUGGGACUAAGUCGU